GGGUAGGUAAUGGGUAGAUUUAUUUUAGUUCCGGACUCACUAAGUAAUGCUAGAUUACUUAUGUUUCUACUUAAAUUUUACAGGUUUUCUUAGCCGAUUAUUCUCAUAGUGAAGCAAGUGAUCUAGGCGAAUCAAAGUAGGUUAUACAGCCUUUGUAAAUUCUUACUAUUUAUACUAUGUAGAUUUUUAAAGAAAAUGAUCCGA
rnacentral:lncRNA from 1 species